UACGAAGGGGGCUAGCGUUGCUCGGAAUCACUGGGCGUAAAGCGCACGUAGGCGGAUCUUUAAGUCAGGGGUGAAAUCCUGGAGCUCAACUCCAGAACUGCCUUUGAUACUGGGGAUCUCGAGUCCGGGAGAGGUGAGUGGAACUGCGAGUGUAGAGGUGAAAUUCGUAGAUAUUCGCAAAGAACACCAGUGGCGAAGGCGGCUCACUGGCCCGGUACUGACGCUGAGGUGCGAAAGCGUGGGAGCA
rnacentral:rRNA from 1 species